GCUUAACACAUGCAAGUCGAGGGGCAGCACAGGUAGCAAUACCGGGUGGCGACCGGCGCACGGGUGAGUAACGCGUAUGCAACUUGCCUAUCAGAGGGGGAUAACCCGGCGAAAGUCGGACUAAUACCGCAUGAAGCAGGGGCCCCGCAUGGGGAUAUUUGCUAAAGAUUCAUCGCUGAUAGAUAGGCAUGCGUUCCAUUAGGCAGUUGGCGGGGUAACGGCCCACCAAACCGACGAUGGAUAGGGGUUCUGAGAGGAAGGUCCCCCACAUUGGUACUGAGACACGGACCAAACUCCUACGGGAGGCAGCAGUGAGGAAUAUUGGUCAAUGGCCGAGAGGCUGAACCAGCCAAGUCGCGUGAGGGAUGAAGGUUCUAUGGAUCGUAAACCUCUUUUAUAAGGGAAUAAAGUGCGGGACGUGUCCCGUUUUGUAUGUACCUUAUGAAUAAGGAUCGGCUAACUCCGUGCCAGCAGCCGCGGUAAUACGGAGGAUCCGAGCGUUAUCCGGAUUUAUUGGGUUUAAAGGGUGCGUAGGCGGCCUUUUAAGUCAGCGGUGAAAGUCUGUGGCUCAACCAUAGAAUUGCCGUUGAAACUGGGGGGCUUGAGUAUGUUUGAGGCAGGCGGAAUGCGUGGUGUAGCGGUGAAAUGCAUAGAUAUCACGCAGAACCCCGAUUGCGAAGGCAGCCUGCCAAGCCAUUACUGACGCUGAUGCACGAAAGCGUGGGGAUCAAACAGGAUUAGAUACCCUGGCAGUCCACGCAGUAAACGAUGAUCACUAGCUGUUUGCGAUACACUGUAAGCGGCACAGCGAAAGCGUUAAGUGAUCCACCUGGGGAGUACGCCGGCAACGGUGAAACUCAAAGGAAUUGACGGGGGCCCGCACAAGCGGAGGAACAUGUGGUUUAAUUCGAUGAUACGCGAGGAACCUUACCCGGGUUUGAACGCAUUCGGACCGAGGUGGAAACACCUUUUCUAGCAAUAGCCGUUUGCGGGGUGCUGCAUGGUUGUCGUCAGCUCGUGCCGUGAGGUGUCGGCUUAAGUGCCAUAACGAGCGCAACCCUUGCCACUAGUUACUAACAGGUAAAGCUGAGGACUCUGGUGGGACUGCCAGCGUAAGCUGCGAGGAAGGCGGGGAUGACGUCAAAUCAGCACGGCCCUUACAUCCGGGGCGACACACGUGUUACAAUGGCGUGGACAAAGGGAAGCCACCUGGCGACAGGGAGCGAAUCCCCAAACCACGUCUCAGUUCGGAUCGGAGUCUGCAACCCGACUCCGUGAAGCUGGAUUCGCUAGUAAUCGCGCAUCAGCCAUGGCGCGGUGAAUACGUUCCCGGGCCUUGUACACACCGCCCGUCAAGCCAUGGGAGCCGGGGGUACCUGAAGUCCGUAACCGCGAGGAUCGGCCUAGGGUAAAACUGGUGACUGGGGCUAAGUCGUA
rnacentral:rRNA from 1 species